UACGGGGGGAGCAAGCGUUGUUCGGAUUUACUGGGCGUAAAGGGCGCGUAGGCGGCCAGCGCAAGUUAGUUGUGAAAUCUCCGGGCUUAACUCGGAACGGUCAACUGAUACUGCGCGGCUAGAGUGCAGAAGGGGCAACUGGAAUCUCGGUGUAGCGGUGAAAUGCGUAGAUAUCGAGAGGAACACCUGCGGCGAAGGCGGGUUGCUGGGCUGACACUGACGCUGAUGCGCGAAAGCGUGGGGAGCGAACAGG
rnacentral:rRNA from 1 species